rnacentral:RNase_P_RNA from 1 species
CAAGUAAGUCAGAUAAUCGCUGCUGACAAUUGUCAGGAGAGGAAAGUCCGAGCUUCGCAGAGCAGGGUGCUGGGUAACUCCCAGUGAGGGUGACCUUAAGGAAAGUGCAACAGAGAGAUACCGCCUCAUUUAUGAGGUAAGGGUGGAAAGGUGAGGUAAGAGCUCACCAGCGCAUUGGUGACUUUGCGGCUAUGUAAACCCCACUUGAUGCAAGGCCGAAUAGAGGGACAUACAGGGGCUGCUCGUCCCGUCCCCGGGUGCGCCGCUUGAGCCAUGUAGAAAUACAUGGCCUAGACAGAUGAUUAUCUAAUACAGAACUCGGCUUAUAGAUUUGCUUGCACC